UGAGGAAUAUUCGGUCAAUGGGCGCAAGCCUGAACCAGCCAAGUAGCGUGCAGGAAGACGGCCCUAUGGGUUGUAAACUGCUUUUAUACGAGAAUAAUUUGAUGCACGUGUGCGUUAUUGCAUGUAUCGUAUGAAUAAGGACCGGCUAAUUCCGUGCCAGCAGCCGCGGUAAUACGGAAGGUCCAGGCGUUAUCCGGAUUUAUUGGGUUUAAAGGGAGUGUAGGCGGUUUGUUAAGCGUGUUGUGAAAUUUAGAUGCUCAACAUUUAACUUGCAGCGCGAACUGUCAGACUUGAGUACACGCAACGUAUGCGGAAUUCAUGGUGUAGCGGUGAAAUGCUUAGAUAUCAUGAAGAACUCCGAUUGCGAAGGCAGCAUACGGGAGUGUAACUGACGCUUAAGCUCGAAGGUGCGGGUAUCGAACAGGAUUAGAUACCCUGGUAGUCCGCACAGUAACGAUGGAUGCCCGCUGUUAGCGCCUGGCGAUAGCGGCUAAGCGAAAGCAUUAAGCAUCCCACCUGGGGAGUACGCCGGCNCGGUG
rnacentral:rRNA from 1 species